rnacentral:misc_RNA from 1 species
GGGGAAUCUGCAAGCCCGUCUAAACAAAAUGUAGGCAUAAUUCAAACGAAUCCGAAUCAUCAUCUGUGCUGUCCAUGAAAACUCACAAUGCUGCGGAGUACAGGAUAAUAAUAAUGAAUAAUUUUCGAGGAUCGCAUUAAUUUCCCCGUCGAUUUUUUCCACGUUUUCCUUGGUGCUUUCGAAUUCCGAUCAUAACAAAGUAAUUGCCUUGGUCUUAUAUUUACUUCUCCACAAUCAUCAUAUCCUCUUAAGCUCCAAUCAUCUCCAGAUCACCUCUAAAGUUACAUGUUUCUCUUUCUGAUUUCUACUCUCUUAAGCUUUCUGUUUGGUUCGCGAGAAAAGUCUUGAAAGUGAAGAUUGUGUAAAAGUUCAAUGGGGAAUGCUUCGUCAAUGCUUACUCAAUAUGAUAUAGAAGAGGUUCAACGACACUGUCAUAAUCUAUUCUCCCAGCAAGAAAUAGUGUCCUUGUAUAAAAGAUUUUGCCAGCUUGAUCGUAAUGCUAAAGGAUUUAUCUCAGCUGACGAGUUCUUAUCAGUGCCUGAGUUUGCAAUGAAUCCACUUUCCCAGAGGCUGCUUAAAAUGGUGGAUGGUUUGAAUUUUAAGGAUUUUGUGGCAUUCUUAUCUGCAUUUAGUGCUAAAGCAAGUCUGGAACAGAAAGUAGGACUUAUUUUCAAGGUAUACGACUCAGAUGGUAAUGGAAAAGUAUCUUUCAAUGAUAUAUUAGAAGUCCUUCAAGAUUUGUCAGGUUCUUUCAUGUCUGAUGAGCAAAGACAGCAAGUGCUGUGCCAAGUUUUGAAAGAGGCAGGUUACACAAGGGAAUCUUACUUGAUGCUGGAUGACUUCAUUAAGGUUUUUGGACAUUUUGGCCUAAAAAUGGAGGUGGAAGUUCCAGUUGACUAAAGCUAAUCAGGCAGUCUUUCAUACCUAAAACUUGAGAUAAGCACUUGGAGAAAAAGACCCUCUAUUGUGCUUAUUGUUAAACGCUUUGAAGUCAAAUUGAAAGAACAUACAACUGUAUUCAUGUCUUUAUGUAUAACCUCAAAUUAAUUAUUAAAAAAAAAAAAGAAGAAAGGAACGAAGAAUCAGAAACUUGAGUGUUAGAAUAAACUUUCAGCUUAUCUGUAAAUGGUUCAUCAUCUCUGGAAUUUUUAGCAUUUGAGAUGUAUGAUUUAGUUGUUGAGAAGUUACUUCUUUAUUGUCUAAUUUAUCUCAAAUACCUGCAUUUAUUGAUCUAUGGGAAUUUGUCCGAUUAUUGGGGAGAUAUUAUCGUGUGAAUACACCACAGUGAUUUUUCAGUGGUUUAUUGGGUCCAAUUUCUUGCAUGCUGGGAAGUAGAGACACGAGGAAGGGAAGGAUUUAUUGGUAAAUUACAAGAACUCCAGUGCUCUUUUUGUACUUGCAACCACCAGCUGCUUAAAGGUGAAGCAUCUGGCAGAGAGUGAAGCAUCUGGCAGAGACUCUUGAUCUACUGGAGCCAAAAUUUGACCCUUAAAUAUGUAAGAAGCCAAAAUAUAUUGCUGUUAAGUGGCUACACUGUUCUUAAACCGUGACUCUGUUAACUGCAAUCACCUACCUGCAAUAACUGAUGUAUAUUCUAAGUGAAGACGUUCUCUCGGCAACUGCCUGGCAAUUUCCCAUGAAAAGCCCCCUUCAAUCUCCUUCUGUGACAAGAUGUUAUAAGUUACAUGUUGCUCUGGACACUUUAG